UACGUAGGGUGCAAGCGUUGUCCGGAAUUAUUGGGCGUAAAGAGCUCGUAGGCGGUUUGUCGCGUCUGCUGUGAAAACCCGAGGCUCAACCUCGGGCCUGCAGUGGGUACGGGCAGACUAGAAUGCGGUAGGGGAGAUUGGAAUUCCUGGUGUAGCGGUGGAAUGCGCAGAUAUCAGGAGGAACACCAAUGGCGAAGGCAGAUCUCUGGGCCGUAACUGACGCUGAGGAGCGAAAGCAUGGGGAGCGAACAGG
rnacentral:rRNA from 1 species